CUUCGGGCCUCUCGCGUCAGGAUUAGCCCAGGUGGGAUUAGCUUGUUGGUGAGGUAAUGGCUCACCAAGGCAACGAGCCCUAGCUGGUCUGAGAGGAUGAUCAGCCACACUGGAACUGAGACACGGUCCAGACUCCUACGGGAGGCAGCAGUGGGGAAUAUUGCACAAAGGGGGAAUCCCUGAUGCAGCCAUGCCGCGUGUAUGAAGAAGGCCUUCGGGUUCUAAAGUACUUUCAGUAGGGAGGAAGGCAGUGUCGUUAAUAGCGGCAUUGUUUGUCGUUACCUACAGAAGAAGCACCGGCUAACUCCGUGCCAGCAGCCGCGGUAAUACGGAGGGUGCGAGCGUUAAUCGGAAUUACUGGGCGUAAAGUGCAUGCAGGCGGUCUGUUAAGCAAGAUGUGAAAGCCCGGGCCUCAACCUCGGAACAGCAUUUUGAACUGGCAGACUAGAGUCUUGUAGAGGGGGGUAGAAUUUCAGGUGUAGCGGUGAAAUGCGUAGAGAUCUGAAGGAAUACCGGUGGCGAAGGCGGCCCCCUGGACAAAGACUGACGCUCAGAUGCGAAAGCGUGGGGCGCAAACAGGAUUAGAUACCCUGGUAGUCCACGCCGUAAACGAUGUCUACUUGGAGGUUGUGGCCUUGAGCCGUGGCUUUCGGAGCUAACGCGUUAAGUAGACCGCCUGGGGAGUACGGUCGCAAGAUUAAAACUCAAAUGAAUUGACGGGGGCCCGCAUAAGCGGUGGAGCAUGUGGUUUAAUUCGAUGCAACGCGAAGAACCUUACCUACUCUUGACAUCCAGAGAACUUUCCAGAGAUGGAUUGGUGCCUUCGGGAACUCUGAGACAGGUGCUGCAUGGCUGUCGUCAGCUCGUGUUGUGAAAUGUUGGGUCAAGUCCCGCAACGAGCGCAACCCUUGUCCUUGUUUGCCAGCACUUCGGGUGGGAACUCCAGGGAGACUGCCGGUGAUAAUCCGGAGGAAGGUGGGGACGACGUCAAGUCAUCAUGGCCCUUACGAGUAGUGCUACACACGU
rnacentral:rRNA from 1 species